AGCGCCCCGCAAGGGGAGCGGCAGACGGGUGAGUAACGCGUGGGAACGUACCUUUUGCUACGGAAUAACUCAGGGAAACUUGUGCUAAUACCGUAUGUGCCCUUCGGGGGAAAGAUUUAUCGGCAAAGGAUCGGCCCGCGUUGGAUUAGCUAGUUGGUGAGGUAAAGGCUCACCAAGGCGACGAUCCAUAGCUGGUCUGAGAGGAUGAUCAGCCACACUGGGACUGAGACACGGCCCAGACUCCUACGGGAGGCAGCAGUGGGGAAUAUUGGACAAUGGGCGCAAGCCUGAUCCAGCCAUGCCGCGUGAGUGAUGAAGGCCCUAGGGUUGUAAAGCUCUUUCACCGGUGAAGAUAAUGACGGUAACCGGAGAAGAAGCCCCGGCUAACUUCGUGCCAGCAGCCGCGGUAAUACGAAGGGGGCUAGCGUUGUUCGGAUUUACUGGGCGUAAAGCGCACGUAGGCGGACUUUUAAGUCAGGGGUGAAAUCCCGGGGCUCAACCCCGGAACUGCCUUUGAUACUGGAAGUCUUGAGUAUGGUA
rnacentral:rRNA from 2 species